rnacentral:rRNA from 1 species
AUUGAACGCUGGCGGCAGGCUUAACACAUGCAAGUCGAGCGAGUGGGGACGGGUGAGUAACACGUGGGGAACCUCCCAUCAGAGGGGAUAACACUUGGAAACAGGUGCUAAACCGAUAUUGUGGGAUGGACACGUGGUGCAUUAGCUAGUUGGUGAGGUAACGGCUCACCAGGGCCACGAUGCAUAGCCGACCUGGGAGGGUGAUCGGCCACACUGGGACUGAGACACGGCCCAGACUCCUACGGGAGGCAGCAGUAGGGAAUCUUCGGCAAUGGACGAAAGUCUGACCGAGCAACGCCGCGUGAGUGAAGAAGGUUUUCGGAUCGUAAAACUCUGUUGUUAGAGAAGCGGUAUCUAACCAGAAAGCCACGGCUAACUACGUGCCAGCAGCCGCGGUAAUUC